UCCUCCCUGCUGAGCUAUACCUAAGGCUAC
rnacentral:piRNA from 1 species